rnacentral:lncRNA from 1 species
CAUGGGGUCACAAAGAGUUGGACAUGACUGAGCAACUAAGCACAGCACAUAUUGUAACAUAUGGUACGGCAGCUAUACUUCAAUUAAAACCAAAAAUAAAGUAAGUUGCUACAGCUUACCUAAUAUGAGCUGUAUACUGUUAGCAAUGCUGUAUUUGUAAACAUGAUCACUUAUAAUGUGAAAAAGAAUCAAGGAGGACUUUAAAACUGUUACCAAAGUCAUUACUGCACCACAUCUCAGGAAGAAGCAAGUAAGAGUUGGUCUCAUCGCGAGUGUGCUCAGGGCUUUGGGUCCAGUACCCAGCCCAGCACCACGGGAAAGCAAGCCCGGUCUCCAGCAGUCCCACACNGAAAAGCAAGUCUGUGUGGGCUAGUUCCUUAGCUUUGGGAGCUGGAUAAGGAAGUGCUAACACGUCUGAUCAGAUGAUACAUUCCCCUCGCACCCAAGUAUUUUCUUAAAGUACCUGUGUGGCUCAAUUAAGUAUGUAAACAGCCACCUCCAAGUAUGACUGUUUCUGUCAAUUCAAGAGGCUGCUUUCGUACAAGAUCUUAGCUCCAGCUGCCAAAAUAUAUCUAUCAGAUGUUCACUGCAAAGCGAGAGUGAUACUCACUCUCCAGUGAGUAUCAUGCCCCAUGGAACAAAGCAGAUCUUUAUCAAUAGUUAAAGUGAAAGUAUACUGGCAGGACCAGCAGAUUACUGUCCCUGGCGACGAAUGGUAUGGGACUGCCAUGUGUAAAUCUAGGCUUUAAAUCAAUUUGGCUGAUGGUUCUGUUUAAAUAAACCUGUAGCAAAAUGAAGUAAUUACUUUGAAUCAUGUUCCUAGAGUUUGAGAAUUAAAUUUCCUCCAUUAAUUAUUAAUAUUCUUCAUGUAGAAGAAAUUUAGCUUAAUUUUUCUGUUCUUACAAGCCAUAUAACACAGCAAUGCGAAUGUAUUUUUGUAGUCUUCAGGUUGAGAAGUU